rnacentral:SRP_RNA from 1 species
GCCGGGUGUGGUGGCGGGCGCCUGUAAUCCCAGCUACUGGGGAGGCCGAGGCAGGAGAAUUGCUUGAACCCGGGAGGUGGAGGUUGCAGUGAGCCGAGAUUGUGCCACUGCACUCCAGCCUGGGCAACAAAGCAAGACUCUGUCUAAC